AUGAACGAUUUGGGUUUUGACUUCACUCAACAACCGGGAACCGGGAACCGGGAAACAUGAGCACAUGACAAUUCCAUUCAUUUGAAUCUUCUUAAAGGUUUCCUGUGCAGAUUAAUUUUCUGAUAAAUUUUCUGUUGACAUUGAUUAAUUUACGAUUUGUUUAAACAAACUCUUGAGAGCACAAAAAUAUGCAACAAGGAAGCACGAUAUAACAGCAGUGUUCAAACCUGAACCUCUCACAGAAAUGGUAAGAGAGUUAUGUGUGUGUACAUGUGUGUGAGGCCCGUUGUUCUCUGAGCAACAAACUUUAAAUACCAUCGGAGCAUUCAGCUGGAAACGAACUCUGGCUACUCACACGAGCCACUCACACGAACUACUGCACUCACAUCUUUGUGAAUAGCUACAGCUUCUGUCCACAUUUGAA
rnacentral:misc_RNA from 1 species